rnacentral:rRNA from 1 species
AGUGAACGCUGGCGGUAGGCCUAACACAUGCAAGUCGAGCGGCAGCACAGUAAGAGCUUGCUCUUACGGGUGGCGAGUGGCGGACGGGUGAGGAAUACAUCGGAAUCUACUUUUUCGUGGGGGAUAACGUAGGGAAACUUACGCUAAUACCGCAUACGACCUACGGGUGAAAGCAGAGGAUCUUCGGACCUUGCGCGAUUGAAUGAGCCGAUGUCGGAUUAGCUAGUUGGCGGGGUAAAGGCCCACCAAGGCGACGAUCCGUAGCUGGUCUGAGAGGAUGAUCAGCCACACUGGAACUGAGACACGGUCCAGACUCCUACGGGAGGCAGCAGUGGGGAAUAUUGGACAAUGGGCGCAAGCCUGAUCCAGCCAUACCGCGUGGGUGAAGAAGGCCUUCGGGUUGUAAAGCCCUUUUGUUGGGAAAGAAAAGCAGCAGGUUAAUACCCCGCUGUUCUGACGGUACCCAAAGAAUAAGCACCGGCUAACUUCGUG